rnacentral:tRNA from 1 species
GGGCUCAUAGUCUAGUUUGGUAGGAUCCGAGCUUUGGGAGCUUGAGGCGAGAGUUCAAAUCUCUCUGAGCCCA